rnacentral:rRNA from 1 species
AGUGAGCGCUGGCGGUAGGCCUAACACAUGCAAGUCGAACGGCAGCACAGUAAGAGCUUGCUCUUACGGGUGGCGAGUGGCGGACGGGUGAGGAAUACAUCGGAAUCUACUUUUUCGUGGGGGAUAACGUAGGGAAACUUACGCUAAUACCGCAUACGACCUACGGGUGAAAGCAGGGGAUCUUCGGACCUUGCGCGAUUGAAUGAGCCGAUGUCGGAUUAGCUAGUUGGCGGGGUAAAGGCCCACCAAGGCGACGAUCCGUAGCUGGUCUGAGAGGAUGAUCAGCCAAACGGGAACUGAGACACGGUCCAGACUCCUACGGGAGGCAGAAGUGGGGAAUAUUGGACAAUGGGCGCAAGCCUGAUCCAGCCAUACCGCGUGGGUGAAGAAGGCCUUCGGGUUGUAAAGCCCUUUUGUUGGGAAAGAAAAGCAGCAGGUUAAUACCCCGCUGUUCUGACGGUACCCAAAGAAUAAGCACCGGCUAACUUCGU